GGAUCCAGACUUUGAUCCUGGCUCAGAUUGAACGCUGGCGGCAGGCCUAACACAUGCAAGUCGAGCGGAAACGGCAACAUUGACUCUUCGGAUGAUUUGUUGGACGUCGAGCGGCGGACGGGUGAGUAAUGCUUAGGAAUUUGCCCAGUCGAGGGGGAUAACUAUUGGAAACGAUAGCUAAUACCGCAUACGCCCUACGGGGGAAAAGAGGGGACCUUCGGGCCUUCUGCGAUUGGAUAAGCCUAAGUGAGAUUAGCUAGUUGGUGAGGUAAUGGCUCACCAAGGCGACGAUCUCUAGCUGGUCUGAGAGGAUGAUCAGCCACACUGGAACUGAGACACGGUCCAGACUCCUACGGGAGGCAGCAGUGGGGAAUAUUGCACAAUGGGCGCAAGCCUGAUGCAGCCAUGCCGCGUGUGUGAAGAAGGCCUUCGGNUUGUAAAGCACUUUCAGCAGUGAGGAAGGUGGUAGUGUUAAUAGCACUAUCAUUUGACGUUAGCUGCA
rnacentral:rRNA from 1 species